rnacentral:rRNA from 1 species
CACUAUCGUUAACUGAAUACAUAGGUUAACGAGGCGAACCGGGGGAACUGAAACAUCUAAGUACCCCGAGGAAAAGAAAUCAACCGAGAUUCCCCCAGUAGCGGCGAGCGAACGGGGAGCAGCCCAGAGUCUGAAUCAGCUUGUGUGUUAGUGGAACGGUCUGGAAAGUCCGACGGUACAGGGUGAUAGUCCCGUACACCAAAAUGCACAGGUUGUGAACUCGAAGAGUAGGGCGGGACACGUGGUAUCCUGUCUGAAUAUGGGGGGACCAUCCUCCAAGGCUAAAUACUCCUGACUGACCGAUAGUGAACCAGUACCGUGAGGGAAAGGCGAAAAGAACCCCGGCGAGGGGAGUGAAAAAGAACCUGAAACCGUGUACGUACAAGCAGUGGGAGCACCUUCGGGUGUGACUGCGUACCUUUUGUAUAAUGGGUCAGCGACUUAUAUUCUGUAGCAAGGUUAACCGUAUAGGGGAGCCGCAGGGAAACCGAGUCUUAACUGGGCGUUAAGUUGCAGGGUAUAGACCCGAAACCCGGUGAUCUAGCCAUGGGCAGGUUGAAGGUUGGGUAACACUAACUGGAGGACCGAACCGACUAAUGUUGAAAAAUUAGCGGAUGACUUGUGGCUGGGGGUGAAAGGCCAAUCAAACCGGGAGAUAGCUGGUUCUCCCCGAAAGCUAUUUAGGUAGCGCCUCGUGAAUUCAUCUUCGGGGGUAGAGCACUGUUUCGGCUAGGGGGUCAUCCCGACUUACCAACCCGAUGCAAACUACGAAUACCGAAGAAUGUUAUCACGGGAGACACACGGCGGGUGCUAACGUCCGUCGUGAAGAGGGAAACAACCCAGACCGCCAGCUAAGGUCCCAAAGUCAUGGUUAAGUGGGAAACGAUGUGGGAAGGCACAGACAGCCAGGAUGUUGGCUUAGAAGCAGCCAUCAUUUAAAGAAAGCGUAAUAGCUCACUGGUCGAGUCGGCCUGCGCGGAAGAUGUAACGGGGCUAAACCAUGCACCGAAGCUGCGGCAGCGACACUAUGUGUUGUUGGGUAGGGGAGCGUUCUGUAAGCCUGCGAAGGUGUGCUGUGAGGCAUGCUGGAGGUAUCAGAAGUGCGAAUGCUGACAUAAGUAACGAUAAAGCGGGUGAAAAGCCCGCUCGCCGGAAGACCAAGGGUUCCUGUCCAACGUUAAUCGGGGCAGGGUGAGUCGACCCCUAAGGCGAGGCCGAAAGGCGUAGUCGAUGGGAAACAGGUUAAUAUUCCUGUACUUGGUGUUACUGCGAAGGGGGGACGGAGAAGGCUAUGUUAGCCGGGCGACGGUUGUCCCGGUUUAAGCAUGUAGGCUGGUUGUCCAGGCAAAUCCGGAUAAUCAAGGCUGAGGUGUGAUGACGAGGCACUACGGUGCUGAAGUAACAAAUGCCCUGCUUCCAGGAAAAGCCUCUAAGCAUCAGGUAACAUCAAAUCGUACCCCAAACCGACACAGGUGGUCAGGUAGAGAAUACCAAGGCGCUUGAGAGAACUCGGGUGAAGGAACUAGGCAAAAUGGUGCCGUAACUUCGGGAGAAGGCACGCUGGUGUGUAGGUGAAGUCCCUGCGGAUGGAGCUGAGACCAGUCGAAGAUACCAGCUGGCUGCAACUGUUUAUUAAAAACACAGCACUGUGCAAACACGAAAGUGGACGUAUACGGUGUGACGCCUGCCCGGUGCCGGAAGGUUAAUUGAUGGGGUUAUCCGUAAGGAGAAGCUCUUGAUCGAAGCCCCGGUAAACGGCGGCCGUAACUAUAACGGUCCUAAGGUAGCGAAAUUCCUUGUCGGGUAAGUUCCGACCUGCACGAAUGGCGUAAUGAUGGCCAGGCUGUCUCCACCCGAGACUCAGUGAAAUUGAACUCGCUGUGAAGAUGCAGUGUACCCGCGGCAAGACGGAAAGACCCCGUGAACCUUUACUAUAGCUUGACACUGAACAUUGAGCCUUGAUGUGUAGGAUAGGUGGGAGGCUUUGAAGCGUGGACGCCAGUCUGCGUGGAGCCAACCUUGAAAUACCACCCUUUAAUGUUUGAUGUUCUAACGUUGGCCCCUUACCGGGGUUGCGGACAGUGUCUGGUGGGUAGUUUGACUGGGGCGGUCUCCUCCCAAAGCGUAACGGAGGAGCACGAAGGUUAGCUAAUCCUGGUCGGACAUCAGGAGGUUAGUGCAAUGGCAUAAGCUAGCUUGACUGCGAGCGUGACGGCGCGAGCAGGUGCGAAAGCAGGUCAUAGUGAUCCGGUGGUUCUGAAUGGAAGGGCCAUCGCUCAACGGAUAAAAGGUACUCCGGGGAUAACAGGCUGAUACCGCCCAAGAGUUCAUAUCGACGGCGGUGUUUGGCACCUCGAUGUCGGCUCAUCACAUCCUGGGGCUGAAGUAGGUCCCAAGGGUAUGGCUGUUCGCCAUUUAAAGUGGUACGCGAGCUGGGUUUAGAACGUCGUGAGACAGUUCGGUCCCUAUCUGCCGUGGGCGCUGGAGAAUUGAGGGGGGCUGCUCCUAGUACGAGAGGACCGGAGUGGACGCAUCACUGGUGUUCGGGUUGUCAUGCCAAUGGCACUGCCCGGUAGCUAAAUGCGGAAGAGAUAAGUGCUGAAAGCAUCUAAGCACGAAACUUGCCCCGAGAUGAGUUCUCCCUGAGACUUUAAGUCUCCUGAAGGAACGUUAAAGACGAUGACGUUGAUAGGCCGGGUGUGUAAGCGCAGCGAUGCGUUGAGCUAACCGGUACUAAUGAACCGUGAGGCUUAACCUU